CAUAAGUAAUAGUAAUCAAAAAUAGAAGGAAAAAUGUCAUGUGGUCAAAAAUGUGAAAAAAUGCCACAGAAUAGUAAAGCAUCAAAAAUGUCUUGUUUAAUGUUCUGUUUCAGCUGUAAUGUUUAAUAUUUUUCUGUGUUUUCAUGGUUAAACUGUUGAUGACGAAUAGGUAGUAGUGUAUUGAUCAUUUUCCUUUGCAUGUUUCUCUUUGAUUUCCUUCAGGUGUCACCACUCUGUCCACAACAUCAUCCAUGAUCGCAGAGAUUGUCGUCCAUGAUUGGAGAGACAUUGUCCACGAUCAGAGACACUGUCCAUGACUCACAGAGACCUGUGCAAAAGUCCGUAGUGACGGAGUUCUCAAAUUUAACGGCAUUGUUUGUGAUCAGAGAGACAUUGAUGAUAAUCACAGAGAAUUUGUCCAUAAUCGCAGAGACAUAGUCCACGAUCACAGAGACGUAGUCCACGAUAACAGAGUCUUCGUACAAUGAAGAAGUUCUUUGAGACCAGGACUGAGGCCUCCAGGUGUCAUCACUUCGUCCACCACGUAGUCCACGAUCACCAAGACGUCGUCCAUGGUCGGAGAGACAUUGUUGAGGAUGAGGGAGACAUAGUCCACGAUCAGAUACAUUGUCCAUGAUCAUAAAGACAUAGUCCCUGAUCACAGAGACUUUGUCCAUAAUCUCAGAGACACUGUCCGCGAUCACAGAGACGUAGUCCACGAUCGCAGAGAGUCUUCAUACAAUAAAAAACUUCUUUGAGACCACGAAAGAAGCCUCAAGGAGGAGAAGACGACAGCAGCUGAAGACCUGACGUGGAUGAAAGAAAACAAGUGUUACAAAGCUGUAAUUAGAUAAAAGACAUC